UACGGAGGGUGCAAGCGUUAUCCGGAUUCACUGGGUUUAAAGGGUGCGUAGGAGGAAAGGUAAGUCAGUGGUGAAAUCUCCAAGCUUAACUUGGAAACUGCCGUUGAUACUAUCUUUCUUGAAUACCGUGGAGGUGAGCGGAAUAUGUCAUGUAGCGGUGAAAUGCUUAGAUAUGACAUAGAACACCAAUUGCGAAGGCAGCUCGCUACACGAAUAUUGACUCUGAGGCACGAAAGCGUGGGGAGCAAACAGG
rnacentral:rRNA from 1 species